rnacentral:lncRNA from 1 species
AUACUCCAGAGCUGCCCUGUAAUCCCCAAAUCCCACUGAAUUCACAGCCUAGUGAUGCAGCAAUGUCAAAGGGAUGCAGCUGGUAAUUCUGCCUGGCUGUUAAACUGCCUCAUGUCACCCUGCUUCCAAUGGCUGCUGACAAGGAAAUUAUACCUGGAUCCCUGUAAUCCUAAAUUCAACAUGAAGAAGGGACCUGAAUGCUACUACACAUCUGCCUGCUGAUUUCCAAACCAUCUUAUAGAAUUUCCAAAAUAGCUUAUGCAAUAUAUGACCUGGAGAGAAGGCACAUUUUCUUCCAGGAAAGAAAAAGGAAGAAAGGUCAAGCUUUACUGCCUCCCUCUUCCCAGAGGAAAGAUGGAAUAUGGAGGCUCAAAGGCCUGCCACGGUGGCUACAACAUUUCAACCCUGGAGGGGCAGAAAGAAGCAAGGAAAAACACCCCUCUAAGGGAAAUGUGGUCUUGCCUAAAUUUGUUCUGUGACACGUCAUCUGGAAAUAUUUCAAAACAAAAAGCUCGUCUUGAAGUGUUUGGCUUCUGCACUGUAGAUUUCUGAGCUCUCACCACAACAGGAUCUGAACCUCUUCCAGCAGCACGUUAAACACCAUGACAAGCAUCUGCCACGUUUUGUUUGCUUUUGCAUCCUCCCCUCUGGGGAAAAGGCAAGUGCAGUGGCAUGGCCAAUUUUGGUCAGGUUUCUCUCUGUAUGAGACUGGUUUGGGUUUUUAAAGCAAGAGGCAUUUUUCUGAACUCCAGUGAGAAGAG